rnacentral:rRNA from 1 species
UGGAGAAUUUUGGACAAUGGGCGAAAGCCUGAUCCAGCAAUGCCGCGUGUGUGAAGAAGGCCUUCGGGUUGUAAAGCACUUUUGUCCGGAAAGAAAUCCUUGGCUCUAAUACAGUCGGGGGAUGACGGUACCGGAAGAAUAAGCACCGGCUAACUACGUGCCAGCAGCCGCGGUAAUACGUAGGGUGCAAGCGUUAAUCGGAAUUACUGGGCGUAAAGCGUGCGCAGGCGGUUUGCUAAGGCCGAUGUGAAAUCCCCGGGCUCAACCUGGGAACUGCAUUGGUGACUGGCAGGCUAGAGUAUGGCAGAGGGGGGUAGAAUUCCACGUGUAGCAGUGAAAUGCGUAGAGAUGUGGAGGAAUACCGAUGGCGAAGGCAGCCCCCUGGGCCAAUACUGACGCUCAUGCACGAAAGCGUGGGGAGCAAACAGGAUUAGAUACCCUGGUAGUCCACGCCCUAAAACGAUGUCAACUAGUUGUUGGGGAUUCAUUUCCUUAGUAACGUAGCUAACGCGUGAAGUUGACCGCCUGGGGAGUACGGUCGCAAGAUUAAAACUCAAAGGAAUUGACGGGGUCAUAGCUGUUUCCU